rnacentral:rRNA from 1 species
GUAGGUGGCAAGCGUUGUCCGGAAUUAUUGGGCGUAAAGCGCGCGCAGGCGGUUCUUUAAGUCUGAUGUGAAAGCCCACGGCUCAACCGUGGAGGGUCAUUGGAAACUGGGGGACUUGAGUACAGAAGAGGAAAGCGGAAUUCCAAGUGUAGCGGUGAAAUGCGUAGAGAUUUGGAGGAACACCAGUGGCGAAGGCGGCUUUCUGGUCUGUAACUGACGCUGAGGCGCGAAAGCGUGGGGAGCAAACAGGGAUUAGAUACCCUGGUAGUCCACGCCGUAAACGAUGAGUGCUAAGUGUUAGGGGGUUUCCCGCCCCUUAGUGCUGCAGCUAACGCAUUAAGCACUCCGCCUGGGGAUACGGCCGCAAGGCUG